rnacentral:rRNA from 1 species
CGGUGGAUCACUUGGGUCGUAGAUCGAUGAAGAACGCAGCUAGACUGCGAUAGGCGGCGCGAACUGCAGAAUUAUCUGAGCGCUUGAUAUUCCGAACGCACAUUGCGGCUUUGGUUAGCAAUAACUAGAGCCUUGCCUGUAUGA